rnacentral:tRNA from 1 species
AAUUAAAUGACUGAUAAUAAGUUAUAAAUUGUAAAUUUAUAUAUAAGAAAUUUAUUCUUUUUAAUUA